GACGAACGCUGGCGGCGUGCUUAACACAUGCAAGUCGAACGGUGAACCCGGAGCUUGCUCCGGUGGAUUAGUGGCGAACGGGUGAGUAACACGUGAGUAACCUGCCCUUGACUCUGGGAUAACUGCGGGAAACUGUAGCUAAUACCGGAUACGACCCUCGGCGGCAUCGCCAGGGGGUGGAAAGAAUUUCGGUCAAGGAUGGACUCGCGGCCUAUCAGCUAGUUGGUGAGGUAACGGCUCACCAAGGCGACGACGGGUAGCCGGCCUGAGAGGGUGACCGGCCGCACUGGGACUGAGACACGGCCCAGACUCCUACGGGAGGCAGCAGUGGGGAAUAUUGCACAAUGGGCGCAAGCCUGAUGCAACAACGCCGCGUGAGGGAUGACGGCCUUCGGGUUGUAAACCUCUUUUAGUAGGGAAGAAGCGAAAGUGACGGUACCUGCAGAAAAAGCACCGGCUAACUACGUGCCAGCCGCCGCCGUAA
rnacentral:rRNA from 1 species